AUGUUACAGAGGAUAUCAGAGUUGCACCCAAGCUAUAUGUCAAUGCAAUACCCCUUGCUUUUUCCAUAUGGAGAAGAUGGGUUCAGACCAGAAAUAGAGUGUCAAAAAAAGAGAGGCGACAAAGGUAAGAGAAAGUAUGUAACAAUGCUGGAGUUUUAUGCGUAUCGCAUCCAACAACGUCUUAACCAAGCAACAGUCUUGCAAAUGAGUGGACGUUUGUUCCUACAGUUCUUAGUUGAUCCAGCAACGUGCAUUGAACAAUGGAGACUAAAUUGGUACAGGACAAACCAAGGUAAGCUGAGGACAGAACUGUACAGAGGACUGCAUGAUGCAAUAGAAAAUGGAGAUACGCGAACUGAACAAGUUGGCCAAAGAAUCAUACUACCCUCAACAUAUAAUGGUAGCCCUAGAAAUAAGCAGCAAAACUACCAAGAUGCCAUGGCGAUUUGUCGUUGGGCUGGCUAUCCUGAUCUCUUCAUCACUUUUACAUGCAAUCCAAAAUGGCCGGAAAUACAGGAUAUGCUGGAUCUGACUCCAGGCCAGAAACCUGAAGAUCGUCCAGACAUUGUUGCCAGAGUAUUCAUGUUAAAACUGAAGGAACUUAUGAAUGACAUAAAGAACGAGAAGUGUUUCGGACAAACAAUUGCGAGUAAGUUUACCAACCAACUACAGAUUUACUAUUGCCUACAUGAUUGUCCUAAAUAA
rnacentral:rRNA from 1 species